rnacentral:rRNA from 1 species
UACGGGGGGGGCAAGCGUUGUUCGGAAUUACUGGGCGUAAAGGGCUCGUAGGUGGCCAACUAAGUCAGACGUGAAAUCCCCAGGCUCAACUUGGGAACUGCGUCUGAUACUGGAUGGCUUGAAUUCGGGAGAGGGAUGCAGAAUUCCAGGUGUAGCGGUGAAAUGCGUAGAGCUCGGGAAGAACAUCAGUGGCGAAGGCGGUCUGCUGGGCCGUUGCUGACGCUGAGGCACGAAAGCGUGGGGAGCAAACAGG